UGAUAGAAUUGAUGAAUGGGC
ensembl:piRNA 21ur-11110 ncRNA